rnacentral:misc_RNA from 1 species
GGUACUAUAAAUAGCUGUCUCCUGUCACUUGCGCAGGGGUGGGGAAGUAAGGAAGAAGGUCUGGGCUUGUAUUAUUGUGUUACUGUAAACGAAAGAAGUCAGGAUGAAGGCCUAUCUUUGUUUCCAUCCAAUGUGGAAAAUGAUGGUGACAAGUCACUUUAUCACUUGGGGUCCACCCUUUAUUUUGAGUUGCAUAGUGCCAAUGCCCAAAGCAAUGCCGAAGCUGAGGAUGGCGCAGUAUCAACGGGCAUGAGUGUAA